UGGUGACGGCGCCAUCUUUUAGGCUUC
rnacentral:piRNA from 1 species